rnacentral:rRNA from 1 species
CAUGAGUUAUGUCAUGUUAUCGACAUGUGAAUUCAUAGCAUGUCAGAAGGCAGACCCGGAGAACUGAAACAUCUUAGUACCCGGAGGAAGAGAAAGAAAAAUCGAUUCCCUGAGUAGCGGCGAGCGAAACGGGAAGAGCCCAAACCAACAAGCUUGCUUGUUGGGGUUGUAGGACACUCUAUACGGAGUUACAAAAGAACAUGUUAGACGAAUCAUCUGGAAAGAUGAAUCAAAGAAGGUAAUAAUCCUGUAGUCGAAAACAUAUUCUCUCUUGAGUGGAUCCUGAGUACGACGGAGCACGUGAAAUUCCGUCGGAAUCUGGGAGGACCAUCUCCUAAGGCUAAAUACUCUCUAGUGACCGAUAGUGAACCAGUACCGUGAGGGAAAGGUGAAAAGUACCCCGGAAGGGGAGUGAAAGAGAACUUGAAACCGUGUGCUUACAAGUAGUCAGAGCCCGUUAAUGGGUGAUGGCGUGCCUUUUGUAGAAUGAACCGGCGAGUUACGAUCUGAUGCAAGGUUAAGCAGCAAAUGUGGAGCCGCAGCGAAAGCGAGUCUGAAUAGGGCGUUGAGUAUUUGGUCGUAGACCCGAAACCAGGUGAUCUACCCUUGGUCAGGUUGAAGUUCAGGUAACACUGAAUGGAGGACCGAACCGACUUACGUUGAAAAGUGAGCGGAUGAACUGAGGGUAGCGGAGAAAUUCCAAUCGAACUUGGAGAUAGCUGGUUCUCUCCGAAAUAGCUUUAGGGCUAGCCUCAAGUGAUGAUUAUUGGAGGUAGAGCACUGUUUGGACGAGGGGCCCCUCUCGGGUUACCGAAUUCAGACAAACUCCGAAUGCCAAUUAAUUUAACUUGGGAGUCAGAACAUGGGUGAUAAGGUCCGUGUUCGAAAGGGAAACAGCCCAGACCACCAGCUAAGGUCCCAAAAUAUAUGUUAAGUGGAAAAGGAUGUGGCGUUGCCCAGACAACUAGGAUGUUGGCUUAGAAGCAGCCAUCAUUUAAAGAGUGCGUAAUAGCUCACUAGUCGAGUGACACUGCGCCGAAAAUGUACCGGGGCUAAACAUAUUACCGAAGCUGUGGAUUGUCCUUUGGACAAUGGUAGGAGAGCGUUCUAAGGGCGUCGAAGCAUGAUCGCAAGGACAUGUGGAGCGCUUAGAAGUGAGAAUGCCGGUGUGAGUAGCGAAAGACGGGUGAGAAUCCCGUCCACCGAUUGACUAAGGUUUCCAGAGGAAGGCUCGUCCGCUCUGGGUUAGUCGGGUCCUAAGCUGAGGCCGACAGGCGUAGGCGAUGGAUAACAGGUUGAUAUUCCUGUACCACCUAGUAUCGUUUUAAUCGAUGGGGGGACGCAGUAGGAUAGGCGAAGCGUGCUGUUGGAGUGCACGUCCAAGCAGUAAGGCUGAGUGUUAGGCAAAUCCGGCACUCAUAAGGCUGAGCUGUGAUGGGGAGAGGAAAUUGUUUCCUCGAGUCGUUGAUUUCACACUGCCGAGAAAAGCCUCUAGAUAGAUAACAGGUGCCCGUACCGCAAACCGACACAGGUAGUCAAGAUGAGAAUUCUAAGGUGAGCGAGCGAACUCUCGUUAAGGAACUCGGCAAAAUGACCCCGUAACUUCGGGAGAAGGGGUGCUCUUUAGGGUUCACGCCCAGAAGAGCCGCAGUGAAUAGGCCCAAGCGACUGUUUAUCAAAAACACAGGUCUCUGCUAAACCGUAAGGUGAUGUAUAGGGGCUGACGCCUGCCCGGUGCUGGAAGGUUAAGAGGAGUGGUUAGCUUCUGCGAAGCUACGAAUCGAAGCCCCAGUAAACGGCGGCCGUAACUAUAACGGUCCUAAGGUAGCGAAAUUCCUUGUCGGGUAAGUUCCGACCCGCACGAAAGGCGUAACGAUUUGG